CUUUUCGUUCACAAUCAGCCAAGACCAGCCUCCCCAUAUGCUUGACCACCUGCCAGAACAGCUCACAUUUUGUUGGUUAAAGUUUGACACCAUGGGUGUUAAGUCAUUUACUCACUUAAAACAUUCAUUGAAAAAAGCAGUUGUCAUCCAGAGAAUGUAACAUCUUUUACAUGCUGCAUUGAAAAGAAACUGGAACAUUAGAGAAUCCAAAUGGAAUCCUCAACUACUCAUAAAGACCCAAAGGAGUAAUUCAUGCUUUAAUUUUUCUGCCUCCUUAGCCAUGAAGGUCUGGUGAUAGGCUUAUGCUUUGGUCUUGGAUGCUGAACGAACUGUGUUAGAUUUAUGGAUGUUCUACAAAUAGAAGCUCCCAGAAUACGAACUGAAUUAGGAAAGAAAGCUUUUCAAUUUUUGAAUAAAGUAAAAUCUGAAAUUGUUGGAUUGAAGGGUUUAAAUUUCAAGUGAGAUAAUUACAGUUUACCUUAUUCUUGUGCAAGUAUUUUAUGACAGUUUUGAUGUUCCUGAUUUAAUCUGAUUCAAUUCAGUUCAAUUCAAUUGUAUUUAUGCAGCACCAAAUCACAACAACAGUCACCUCAAGGCACUUUAUAUUGUAAGGUAGACCCUACAAUAAUACAUACAGAGAAAAACCCAAUAAUCAUAUGACCCCCCUAUGAGCAAGCACUUUGGCGACAGUGGCAAGGAAAAACUCCCUUUUGACAGGAAGAAACCUCCGGCAAAACCAGGCUCAGGGAGGGGCGGGGCCAUCUGCUGCGACCGGUUGGGGUGAGAGAAGGAAGACAGGAUAAAGACAUGCUGUGGAAGAGAGAGAGAUUAAUAACAAGUAUGAUUCAAUGCAGAGAGGUCUAUUAACACAUAGUGAGUGAGAAAGGUGACUGAAAAAGAAAUGCUCAAUGCAUCAUGGGAAUACCCUGGAAGCCUACACCUAUUGCAGCAUAACUAAGGGAGGAUUCAGGGUCACCUGAUCCAGCCCUAACUAUAUGCUUUAGCAAAAAGGAAAGUUUGAAGCCUAAUCUUCAAAUUAGAGAUAGUGUCUGUCUCUGAAAUCCAAACUGGAAGCUGGUUCCACAGAAGAGGCGCCUGAAAACUGAAGGCUCUGCCUCCCAUUCUACUUUUAAAUACUCUAGGAACAACAAGUAGGCCUGCAGAGCGAGAGCGAAGUGCUCUAAUAGGGUGAUGUGGUCAUUAAGAUAAUCUAAUGUGUCUUUCUAUGUAAUUCGAUGCCUUUUUGGUCAGACCUCCCUUGUAAAAAAAAAGAAAAAGUGGCAGAUAUGUUUGCUGAACUCCAAACUGACAAUUUAAAGAUCUUAUAGCUGUAUGCAGACUUGUGUGUCUGAGAUGAGAACAACAACCAUGGUGUCAUCAUUAAACUUGAUGAUAUUACAUAGGUGGGCUAGAUUACUAUGGAUUACUGUUACCAUGGGUGUUGAGGGAAAACAGCAGUGGAUCCAGCAUAUGGUUACCCUUGAGGGUAACUGACUCUGAGUGAGUGAGUGGAGGAAAUAUGAAGGCCAGGUUUCACUGGAUUUGAAACACAGCCUUUAAAAACUUGCUUCUGGUUUUGACUUCUUCUCCUGUUCUCCAAGCACUGAUGGGGAAAAUACUGCAGUAAGUACUUGCACCCUAAGCACUGGCAGAAAUGGUAUGCAGUUGUGGCAAUAUUGGUGUGCAAGGUGACAAAUGUGGCAGGUAUACUGGAAUUGUCAGUGGCUGAUUUUAGGUACAGGAAUGAAAGAAAAGGUGGGAUGAGGGCCUGCCACGGACAGGAGUUUAAGAAAAUAGUUAAGAAAUUACUCUGAGUCCUGUAUUUCAAGGUCUGCUGUUAUGAUGUGUUUAGAAAGUAUUCUGGUA
ensembl:lncRNA